rnacentral:tRNA from 1 species
GCCGGAGUAGCUCAGUUGGUAGAGCGGCGCAUUCGUAAUGCGUAGGUCGGGGGUUCGAAUCCCUUCUCCGGCA